AUUUCGAUUAAUAAUAAUAGUGAAAAUCAUGUUUCAAUCAUUAUUUUUCAGAUAAAAAGCUGCCGUUUUCUUCUUCCGAAAGAGAGCUGCUGAUUGUAGCUUAAUAAGAGAAAGGCCUAUUAUUGAAGACAAGCAUAUUAUUAUCCUCUCUAAAAUAUCGAGUUGACGAAGCAGGCCUGGGAAACUCUAACAGUGGCUUACAAUUCUCAACCAUAUUUUAUGUUUCACAAAGGCUCACACAUCAACUGAAAAGCUGCUGGAAUAAUUUAAAGACCCAAAGAAUGAAAGAACUUUCUCAGGAAUCAAUCAAACGUUCUCAACACCCACUAGUAGGUAUCAAGAAAUUAAGAUUAGUAGUAGCAAGAAUGAAGAUUAAGACAGAAACAAGAAUCAAACGCACCACAUUGAAUAAUAUAUAACAAGACCAGGCUUUGCACGAGUUGGGGCUACAAAGAGAAAAAAUAUUGAUAGAAAGAGAAAACAAUUUGUUAGAACAUGAAAAAAAGCUUUAUGAUUUACAAAUACAUACAAUUAAAUUAGACAUUGAAGAUUGAUGAAAAUAAAACUUUAUUAAAAAUUUUAUGUUUUAUUUGCCACUAGCAACUGAUACAUUAUGUAGGUGGCACUGGAAGGCCUCCUCGCAGUUAAUUUCCUCAGGUCUUCUUUUAUCAGUGGUAAAAGUAUGAAAAGUACCCCA